AUCGCUUCUUGGCCUUUUGGCUAAGAUCAAGUGUAGUAUCUGUUCUUAUCAGUUGCCAGAGAAGGCUCCAAUGCUACUCCCAAACUUAGGGAGGGCGGAGUCAAAUCCAAUGGUGUCAUUGCACCCGGAAGGGCGGUUUCGGUAGGGAUUCAUGCCUGUUGCACCCUAACAGACGUUGGGGGCCAGCCAUG